UUCACAGUGAAGACACAUUCUGCACUAAUCAGGUAGGAUUCAUCCAGGUAGAAGAAGGAGGUUCUGUCACCAUCCCAUGCAGCUUCAGUUACCCCAAGGAGGACUGGGACAAAUCAGAGAUCACAGUGCACUGGAGAAGUGGAGAAAACAGUCCAUGUGGGCGGAAUGAAUUCAUUUACAAUCACACAAAACCAAAACCAUGGACUCAUGAAAACUACACAGGGAGAAUCUCCAUGGUGGGAGACCCCAUCAGAAAUAAAACUGCUUCAAUCACAAUACAAAACUUGAAUAAAAAGGAUGGUAGAAUGUACUGCUGUAGAUUGCAAUAUAAAAAUCAUCAAAACAAAGACAAACAAUGGCAGAACCCUCCUGGGACUUUUCUGAGGUUUCCUGUUACAGGUAAUAACACACUCAUAACUCUACUGUUUGAUUCACCCUGCAGGCGGAGGGACAGACUCAUAGCUUCUUCUGUCUGUCUGUCACUGUGUCACCCUGCAGGGGGAGGGACAGACUCAUAGCUCCUUCUGUCUGUGUCACUGUGUCACCCUGCAGGGGGAGGGACAGACUCAUAGCUCCUUCUGUCUGUGUCACUGUGUCACCCUGCAGGCGGAGGGACAGACUCAUAGCUCCUUCUGUCUGUGUCACUGUGUCACCCUGCAGGGGGAGGGCCAGACUCAUAGCUCCUUCUGUCUGUGUCACCGUGUCACCCUGCAGGGGGAGGGACAGACUCAUAGCUCCUUCUGUCUGUGUCACUGUCUCACCCUGCAGGGGGAGGGACAGACUCAUAGCUCCUUCUGUCUGUGUCACAGUGUCACCCUGCAGGGGGAGGGACAGACUCAUAGCUCCUUCUGUCUGUGUCACCGUGUCACCCAGCAGGGGGAGGGACAGACUCAUAGCUCCUUCUGUCUGUGUCACUGUAUCACCCUGCAGGGGGAGGGACAGACUCAUAGCUCCUUCUGUCUGUGUCACCGUGUCACCCUGCAGGGGGAGGGACAGACUCAUAGCUCCUUCUGUCUGUGUCACUGUGUCACCCUGCAGGGGGAGGGACAGACUCAUAGCUCCUUCUGUCUGUGUGACUGUGUCACCCUGCAGGGGGAGGGACAGACUCAUAGCUCCUUCUGUCUGUAUCACCGUGUCAUCCUGCAGGGGGAGGGACAGACUUAUAGCUCCUUCUGUCUGUGUCACCGUGUCACCCUGCAGGGGGAGGGACAGACUCAUAGCUCCUUCUGUCUGUAUCACCGUGUCACCCAGCAGGGGGAGGGACAGACUCAUAGCUCCUUCUGUCUGUGUCACUGUCUCACCCUGCAGGGGGAGGGACAGACUCAUAGCUCCUUCUGUCUGUGUCACAGUGUCACCCUGCAGGGCGAGGGACAGACUCAUAGCUCCUUCUGUCUGUGUCACUGUCUCACCCUGCAGGGGGAGGGACAGACUCAUAGCUCCUUCUGUCUGUGUCACAGUGUCACCCUGCAGGGGGAGGGACAGACUCAUAGCUCCUUCUGUCUGUGUCACCGUGUCACCCAGCAGGGGGAGGGACAGACUCAUAGCUCCUUCUGUCUGUGUCACUGUAUCACCCUGCAGGGGGAGGGACAGACUCAUAGCUCCUUCUGUCUGUGUCACUGUCUCACCCUGCAGGGGGAGGGACAGACUCAUAGCUCCUUCUGUCUGUGUCACAGUGUCACCCUGUCAGGGGGAGGGACAGACUCAUAGCUCCUUCUGUCUGUGUCACUGUGUCACUCUGCAGGGGGAGGGACAGACUCAUAGCUCCUUCUGUCUGUGUCACUGUGUCACCCUGCAGGGGGAGGGACAGACUCAUAGCACCUUCUGUCUGUGUCACUGUGUCACCCUGCAGGGGGAGGGACAGACGCAUAGCUCCUUCUGUCUGUGUCACCCUGCAGGGGGAGGGAGGGACAGACUCAUAGCUCCUUCUGUCUGUGUCACUGUGUGUCACCCUGCAGGGGAGGGGACAGACUCAUAGCUCCUUCUGUCUGUGUGUCACUGUGUCCUGGGGAGGGACAGACUCAUAGCUCUUUCUGUCUGUGUCACUGUGACACCCUGCAGGGGGAGGGACAGACUCCUAGCUCCUUCUGUCUGUGUCACUGUGUCACCCUGCAGGGGGAGGGACAGACUCAUAGCUCCUUCUGUCUGUGUCACUGUGUCACCCUGCAGGCGGAGGGACAGACUCAUAGCUCCUUCUGUCUGUGUCACUGUGUCACCCUGCAGGGGGAGGGCCAGACUCAUAGCUCCUUCUGUCUGUGUCACCGUGUCACCCUGCAGGGGGAGGGACAGACUCAUAGCUCCUUCUGUCUGUGUCACUGUCUCACCCUGCAGGGGGAGGGACAGACUCAUAGCUCCUUCUGUCUGUGUCACAGUGUCACCCUGCAGGGGGAGGGACAGACUCAUAGCUCCUUCUGUCUGUGUCACUGUAUCACCCUGCAGGGGGAGGGACAGACUCAUAGCUCCUUCUGUCUGUGUCACCGUGUCACCCUGCAGGGGGAGGGACAGACUCAUAGCUCCUUCUGUCUGUCAAUGUAUCACCCUGCAGGGGAAGGGACAGACUCAUAGCUCGUAAAAUAAAAUAUACGCUCGUAUGCACAUAUACAAGGUUAGUGUGCCAGGGUUAGAGAUGUUAGUAUGGUAGGGUUAGGAAGGUUAGGGAGGUUAGUGGGGCAGGGUUAGGGAGAUUAGUGUGGCAGGGUAAGGGAGGCUAGGGGGUUAGAGAGACAAGGUUGGGGGGCUAGUAAGACAAGGUUGGGGGGUUUGAGAGACAGGCUUAAGGAGUCUAGUAAGACAAGAUUAGGGGGUUAGAGAGACAGGGUUAGGGGGUUAGAGGGUUAGUGUGACAGAGUGAGAGGAAAAUACACAGACUUUAAACACAUUUAAUAUAUUUUGCUUUGCCCCCCUCCUGCUUAUCUGCUGUGCAGGUAGGGGAGGCAAUAAUUAAUGUCAUGGUGGUCCAGUGGGUCUCUGUGGUCCAGUGUGCUGCUGGUUCAGUCGCUGGUGGUCCACUGUGAUGCUAGUGAACCCCGUGGUGGUCCAGUGUGCCACUGGGGCUGCCGCUCUCCCUCGCGGUUCCGGCGCACUAUGAUGAAGUAGAGCGCAGGCUGGGAACCUGACGCCUGUGCUCUAACACUCACAGUGUGCCGGUAAUGCGAGGGAGUGCAGCAGCCCCAGCAGCACACUGGACCACCAGGGAGUUCGUUACAGCUGGCAGGGAGAUCUUUGGAUCUCCCUGCUAGCUCAAGGAAGGGGGCUCGAUCAGAGCCUUCAGGACUGUUAAUGGGAACGGCAUUCCUGCUGUGUGGAAAGUGCAGAAACGUGGUUCCCACACGUUCCUGCAGGACUCGGGCCAUAUAUAUAUAUAUAUAUAUAUAUAUAUAUACUUAUUAAAUGUUAUAAUGUUUAAAUAUAAUAUAGAAUCAUAGAACCAAGGCUUCCUCUGUUUAUCUGUAGAUAGAUCAUAGACAGAUAGAUAGAUAGAUAAAUUACAAAAUGUGUUUGUGAUAUUAUUCUACACAUCCUUUCAUACAGCUAUAAUCCUUCACAGCUGGAUUAAAUCAUGAAUCCUUAUCCCAUAUUUCAAAUUCUCACUCUACCGUAGGCAUGAUUAGAGUUAUGGAUGCAACGACUGUUUAUAAUCUUUUAUCUUGCAACUUCCUGUAAAACUACCUCUUAUAGAUUUUUAUUCUAUAUUUCAUUAACCUCUAUCUAUACAGUAUCAGACUGUAGUGACUGAAUAUUGCUGGUGGUCACCUGUAUAUGUUAUGCAGAAAUUAUCAUAUCAUGUAUCAGAAGUCAUAUCAUAGUCAUCAUCAGUUUGAUAAUGCAAGCCUCCCCACUGUCCCACUUUCAGCAAGACAGUCUAAGUUGUAGGAUCCUGCCCACUGUACUGAUUUAGCUCCUUGAUGUCCCUCUUGUGCUAUGCAGUAGGAACUAGAGCUUCAACAGCCUUCUCUGUAUGGUCUGCAGAUGCGUAGAAAGGUGACUGGGGGCAAGUCCUUUACUUGUGCCAGCCCAACCUGUUCCAUGCCAUGAGUGUAGAUGGGUGCAGAUGCCCCCUCACAAUGCUGGACCGAAAGGAUUUUUUCUCAGUGAUGCAUCCAUCAGAGGUGGAGACCACAAGCCCCUCCCAUUGGACCACCAGGGAGCUACAUAUUAGAACCCAAUGGGCCACAAGGAAGCAAGGCUAUGGUCACCAGGGCGUGGGACUAUGAUCUCAAGGGAAUCAAGAUCAUAAAACCCCCAGGUCAAUGGUAACAGGGGGUAAAAAUGCAUUUUUUUUUUAACAAUUCUAAUGUGCACUCAGCAAUACACAAACCACUAAGCUACCCACACACAUCAACACACAUCAUUUGCAGAUACCUACAGAUUCUCUCACAUGGUCUGCAGGGAGAAACUAUAAGCAGGGGCUAUAGUGGUUAUAGUGUUUGGAAUGUUAUUUUAAUUAAUAUUUAAUUUAUAUCAAAUAAAUAAACAACAUCGAGGAAGAACUCCUGGGUGCAUACCAUAAUGAAACGUGCUGUGCAUGCCUAUUCUCAUAUGCCUCCUUCUGGGAGGAACCACCCAAUAUGGGUGUUGCUAGUAACACCAUUAGUGAUGGGACCAAUGUUGGGUGGUAUGAUGAUAUACAUUCCUUAUUCGAAUAUUUGUUUUAACAACUUCUUGACCAUGGCUACAUGCCUAUUACAAUGGCAUUUAAAUUCAGCCAUUUUGGCCUUUUCUAAUAAGUUUAAUUUUAAGAGGUAUGUUAGUCUUCACAUAGCAUAAGUCAGGACCACACAUUGCUGCAGAAAUUUAAAUAAAACAGUUUUUUUGUUGUAUAAACGUUUAGCAUCACUAAUUACCCAGAAAUGUAAGUGAUGAACCAGAGUGAAUCAAGAGGAAGUGUCAUGUGUCAUCUUAAAUGUUGCCAAUUCCAUAUAUCUGUAUCAAAAUUGAGAAUAAAAAAAGGUAUGUGUGUACAAUACAGAAGCAAUUUCUAUAAAAUUAAAAAUUACUUAAUGAAAUGUAAUAUUGUGCAAUGCUUUCUCUACAGAUACGAUAUAUGUGGAUCAGUUGGAUGCUGUCCCCGCUCUACAAGGAGAAACAGUCAUCAUUCCGUGUUAUAUUACUUACCCUACUGGAAGUACCUUUACUGUUGAAAAAGUGACCUGGCGUACGGCAAAUAAUGACCUGUGUCAAGAUAAUGGAGAGCCUCGUGUUUGGAACUUAGAAAAUAAAUCAGAGCUUAUAGAUCAAUUCUCGCUGGUGAAUUUUCCAGCUAAUAUCUCAUUACGUAUAAAAAAUGUGACAUCUUCAAACAAGAACUGGUACUGCUGUGAAGUGACUACAGAAAGUCGUACAUAUAUUACUCAUCGUGCCACUGAGCUGGCCAUUACAG